AGAGUUUGAUCAUGGCUCAGAAUCAACGCUGGCGGCGUGCCUCAGACAUGCAAGUCGAACGAUUAAAGCCCUCUUCGGAGGGUGUAUAAAGUGGCGCACGGGUGAGUAACACGUAAGUAAUCUACCCUCGGGUGGGGAAUAACAACCGGAAACGGUUGCUAAUACCGCAUAAUGCAGCGGCUCCUUAUGGAGACAGUUGUUAAAGGAUUUAUUCGCCUGAGGAGGAGCUUGCGGCAAAUUAGCUAGUUGGUAAGGUAAUGGCUUACCAAGGCUACGAUCUGUAGCCGGUCUAAGAGGACGGUCGGUCACACUGACACUGAAUAACGGGUCAGACUCCUACGGGAGGCAGCAGUCGGGAAUUUUGGGCAAUGGGCGAAAGCCUGACCCAGCAACGCCGCGUGAAGGAUGAAGUAUUUCGGUAUGUAAACUUCGAAAGAAUAGGAAGAAUUAAUGACGGUACUAUUUAUAAGGUCCGGCUAACUACGUGCCAGCAGCCGCGGUAAUACGUAGGGACCAAGCGUUGUUCGGAUUUACUGGGCGUAAAGGGCGCGUAGGCGGCAUGACAAGUCACUUGUGAAAUCUCUGGGCUUAACUCAGAACGGCCAAGUGAUACUGUCGCGCUAGAGUGCAGAAAGGGCAAUCGGAAUUCUUGGUGUAGCGGUGGAAUGCGUAGAUAUCAAGAGGAACACCUGAGGCGAAGGCG
rnacentral:rRNA from 1 species